AGAGUUUGAUCCUGGCUCAGAAUCAACGCUGGCGGCGUGCCUCAGACAUGCAAGUCGAACGAUUAAAGCUCCCUUCGGGGAGUGCAUAAAGUGGCGCACGGGUGAGUAACACGUAAGUAAUCUACCCUCGGGUGGGGAAUAACGUUCGGAAACGGACGCUAAUACCGCAUAAUGCAGCGGCACCGCAAGGUGACAGUUGUUAAAGAUUUAUUGCCUGGGGAGGAGCUUGCGGCAGAUUAGCUUGUUGGUAAGGUAACGGCUUACCAAGGCUACGAUCUGUAUCCGGUCUAAGAGGACGGUCGGACACACUGACACUGAAUAACGGGUCAUACUCCUACGGGAGGCAGCAGUCGGGAAUUUUGGGCAAUGGGGGAAACCCUGACCCAGCAACGCCGCGUGAAGGAUGAAGUAUUUCUGUAUGUAAACUUCGAAAGAAUAGGAAGAAAUAAUGACGGUACUAUUUAUUAUUGUCCGGCUAACUACGUGCCAGCAGCCGCGGUAAUACAUACGGACCAAUCGUUGUUCAGGAUUUACUGUUCGUAAAGGGCGCGUAUGCCGCGCGGCACUCACCCUGUGGAAAUCUCUGAGCUUAACUUCAGAUACAGCUAAAUGAUACUGCACUGGCUUCAGUGUGGGAAAGAGCCAAUCAGAAAUUCUUGGUGUGACGCUGAAAUGUGUUAAUAUCCUGACGACUACUUCGUCGUGUAUAACAGGAUGACUGGCGACAUGUACGCUCAGGUGCGUACACCUCAGCGGUAAGCGAACUCGAGUACAUACCCCGCUAGUCCUGCCCUUAAACGAUGAAUACUUGGUUGUCUGGAGUUUUAUGCUCCCGGGUGCAGUCAGCUAACGUUUUUUAGUAUUCCGCUGGGGAAGUACGCUCGCAAGAGUGAAACUCAAGAAUUGACGGGGACCCGCACAAGCGGUGGAGCAUGUGGUUUAAUUCGACGCAACGCGAAGAACAUUACCUGGACUAGAAUGUGAGGGAAUGUCGGGUAAUGCCGGCAGUCCGGGAAACCGGACCCAAAACAAGGUGCUGCAUGGCUGUCGUCAGCUCGUGUCGUGAGAUGUUGGGUUAAGUCCCGCAACGAGCGCAACCCUUAUCAACAGUUGCCAUCAUUAAGUUGGGAACUCUGUUGAGACUGCCGUUGAUAAAACGGAGGAAGGUGGGGAUGAUGUCAAGUCAUCAUGGCCUUUAUGUUCAGGGCUACACACGUGCUACAAUGGAUGGUACAAAACGUCGCAAUCUCGUAAGAGGGAGCUAAUCGCAAAAACCAUUCUCAGUUCGGAUUGAAGUCUGCAACUCGACUUCAUGAAGUUGGAAUCGCUAGUAAUCGCAGAUCAGCACGCUGCGGUGAAUACGUUCCCGGGUCUUGUACACACCGCCCGUCACAUCACGAAAGUAGGUUGUACUAGAAGUAGCUGGGCCAACUCGCAAGAGAGGCAGGUUACCACGGUAUGAUUUAUGAUUGGGGUGAAGUCGUAACAAGGUAACC
rnacentral:rRNA from 1 species